UUCAAUCCGGGUGUCGCCU
rnacentral:tRNA from 2 species